rnacentral:rRNA from 1 species
AACGAACGCUGGCGGCAGGCUUAACACAUGCAAGUCGAACGGGUGUAGCAAUACAUCAGUGGCAGACGGGUGAGUAACACGUGGGAACCUUCCUAGGGGUACGGAACAACUCAGGGAAACUCGAGCUAAUACCGUAUACGUCCGUGAGGAGAAAGAUUUAUCGCCCUUAGACGGGCCCGCGUCGGAUUAGCUAGUUGGUGGGGUAACGGCCUACCAAGGCGACGAUCCGUAGCUGAUCUUAGAGGAUGAUCAGCCACACUGGGACUGAGACACGGCCCAGAGUCCUACGGGAGGCAGUAGUGGGGAAUCUUGGACAGUGGGCGCAAGACUGAUGCAGCCAUGGCGCGUGCGGGAUGAAGGCCUUCGGGUUGUAAACCGCUUUCAGCAGGGAAGAAAUUGACGGUACCUGCAGAAGAAGGACCGGCCAACUACGUGCCAGCAGCCGCAGUAA